CGACUGCGGCGUGCUAUACAUGCAAGUCGAACGAACUCUGGUAUUGAUUGGUGCUUGCAUCAUGAUUUACAUUUGAGUGAGUGGCGAACUGGUGAGUAACACGUGGGAAACCUGCCCAGAAGCGGGGGAUAACACCUGGAAACAGAUGCUAAUACCGCAUAACAACUUGGACCGCAUGGUCCGAGUUUGAAAGAUGGCUUCGGCUAUCACUUUUGGAUGGUCCCGCGGCGUAUUAGCUAGAUGGUGAGGUAACGGCUCACCAUGGCAAUGAUACGUAGCCGACCUGAGAGGGUAAUCGGCCACAUUGGGACUGAGACACGGCCCAAACUCCUACGGGAGGCAGCAGUAGGGAAUCUUCCACAAUGGACGAAAGUCUGAUGGAGCAACGCCGCGUGAGUGAAGAAGGGUUUCGGCUCGUAAAACUCUGUUGUUAAAGAAGAACAUAUCUGAGAGUAACUGUUCAGGUAUUGACGGUAUUUAACCAGAAAGCCACGGCUAACUACGUGCCAGCAGCCGCGGUAAUACGUAGGUGGCAAGCGUUGUCCGGAUUUAUUGGGCGUAAAGCGAGCGCAGGCGGUUUUUUAAGUCUGAUGUGAAAGCCUUCGGCUCAACCGAAGAAGUGCAUCGGAAACUGGGAAACUUGAGUGCAGAAGAGGACAGUGGAACUCCAUGUGUAGCGGUGAAAUGCGUAGAUAUAUGGAAGAACACCAGUGGCGAAGGCGGCUGUCUGGUCUGUAACUGACGCUGAGGCUCGAAAGUAUGGGUAGCAAACAGGAUUAGAUACCCUGGUAGUCCAUACCGUAAACGAUGAAUGCUAAGUGUUUGGAGGGUUUCCGCCCUUCAGUGCUGCAGCUAACGCAUUAAGCAUUCCGCCUGGGGAGUACGGCCGCAAGGCUGAAACUCAAAGGAAUUGACGGGGGCCCGCACAAGCGGUGGAGCAUGUGGUUUAAUUCGAAGCUACCCGAAGAACCUUACCAGGUCUUGGCAUACUAUGCGAAUCU
rnacentral:rRNA from 2 species